rnacentral:rRNA from 1 species
UAGUCGCAAGACCAAAGAGGGGGACCUUCGGGCCUCUUGCCAUCGGAUGUGCCCAGAUGGGAUUAGCUAGUAGGUGGGGUAACGGCUCACCUAGGCGACGAUCCCUAGCUGGUCUGAGAGGAUGACCAGCCACACUGGAACUGAGACACGGUCCAGACUCCUACGGGAGGCAGCAUG